ensembl:lncRNA
CUUACAGCAGUUGCUGUAGGGACCAUAACUUGGAUAUCAUUAUGAAUAUUUUUGUGGCAAGAGGUCAGGUAUUUGAGACAGAAUGUUUACAUAACAGAAUGUUUACAUAGGGCUGUUAUUUAAGAAAGUCUGUUGUCAGGAAAUAACCCAUGUGUUAGUAUGUAUGUUUCCAGGAGAAGAGUACAUAAGACGCCAGAUGGAAGGGCAUGGGCUGAAUUCUGGAGACUGAGUGUACAUCAAGAUACACCAGGCUGGGGAUAUACUUCUUACAGCACCUGCAGUGGUAAAGAUCGUCAUGUCUCUCUUUGAUGGGUGCAUAAGUUUCACAAGAAGUAAGGUCCAGCUGAAUAAUGGGUGAGCUUGAAAACACCAUGACAGAGGACGUGAAACAAAACAAAAGAGAGAGAGUGAGAGACUAGAUUCCACUGUAGAUAUACUGGGUUGAGUUUGGGGGUUAUUUGGUUUAUUUGAUAAUGUAUCAUGUGAAUAAGGAUAGAUAUUAGGUUAGUUGGACCUAAACUACAUGUUGAAGGCUCGAUGUGGAAGCCCAUUCAGUGUUGAAUUACUUCAAGAAGAAAUAAUGUUGAUUAAGGUUAUGCACAUGCUUAUCAGUUGAUAUAGAGCAAAUAGGGAACUAAGUAAAAAAAAAUGACAUGAUUUGGGAACACCUCUCAGAACCUGUGGCCGAAAGGGGAAGACUGGAUAAAAGCAUGAGGAAGCUAAUUAGGGCCUCCAUUUUUGUAGAGUCCAGCAGAAACACAUCCUGAAAGCAUAGAGUCGGGUGAAGAGAGAGUGGGAAUUGUCAUGGUCUUAGAUUUCAGUAUUUAUGAAUACAGUCAUGCAUAACACAUAACAUUGUCAAUACUGUUAUGUUGUGUCUUUUGUUUUACAAGUCUUUUGUUUAGGAAACCAGAUGGAGAAGGGUUCGCCAGCUUCAGCUGGAAUGUCAGUUUGUGUGAUGAGUGAUGGAAGUAAGAGAAUGUAUGGUGUAAUCGUAGAACAGAGGCCAUAAGUCUUUAAGUAUGAAUGCCCCACAGAAAGAAGGCAGAAACCUGAACCAGGACGAGAGGUUCCACAUCUGAUGAUCCAAGGAGACCAGAAGGCCCUCUCCCAGUGAUACCAGGAGAUCCAGUCUACGGUCGAGUGUUCCGAAGGAAGUGGGAUCAGCCGAGGAGAGAAGGACCCUACGAGGUGGCAACGGCCACAAUCACGGCCGUCCAAGUGAAAGGAAGCAAGACGUGGUAUCAUCUAAACCACUGCACCCGAGUCCCGACGGAGAGAAGGACACAACCAUACAGAGAUGAGGACACAGAGGAUGCUGAUUCACCAGAGGGGACCCCGGAGGGAGCAGGAGCAGAGGAAUCGAUCAAAGCCCCGGGGAGGACUCAAGAAAAUGGCAGACCAGAUACAACGAGUGCAUCAGCUAACACACUCAGAAGAAGCACCAGGGGAAAAGAGCCUGAAAAGAAAAGAGCCUGAAAAGAAAAGAGACAAACGACCAAAGUUUCCUCCAGUAUGGCCAGAAAGCCCAGAAGUGGGAGGGGGUAACAUGUCUGCCACUCCUGAUGAUAUACCUGUUGGGGCAGGCCUCUUUGACAGAAGCACUCUACAGAGGGGCUCCGAGGUAUUGCCUAAAGAAUGGGAACAUCUCUUCCCUGAAAUGGACACCUUCCAAAUGGAAGCCCAGUCCGGCCUGAGGAGGGAGCUUCAGGGGAGGAAAGAAGGAGAGACCCCACUAACGAGAAGGAAAAGUCGAGUGAGCUGAAGAAAAUGGCAAUUUCCCCAAAAAUUGACUUUUCAGCUCUUACCUGAUCUCCAUAAUGAACCAUUGGAAUUAGGACCACGAAAGAACAGUGACAAUGACAGAAUAAGAGCGACUGAGGACAAUACGAAGAUGAUGCACGCACUCACAAUCAAGAUAAAAGAUAAAAGCAGGAAGAGAAGAGAGGAGCCUGUCGAACGAGGUAAAAAGACAGGACCUGUUGAUAGGUUUAAAUUUCAUGUUCCCUCACAACUUCUAACAGAACCAGGGGAACAGAGGACAGGUUCUGUAUGGAAGAAGAAACCUGUACCGGAGGAGCCACUCUGUGGAUGGACGCGUCAUAUAACAAAGGGAGAAGCUGUUUGGGACCUCAAAGGAUGUGACCUGACACUAACCAAAUAUGUGAAAGGCUGGGAGUUUAUCAUGAACAAGAUGACACCAGCAGAAGGUGAAGAAUUUGAAAUUGAAAUAACAAGAACAGGACUGAGUGAAGGAAACAGUUACGAAUAUGUUAAAUUGGGUCCUAUGCCAGCACCUGAACAAAAAACGAUUUGCCACUACACUAGGGAGACAGAGAGAGGUGGUAACCACACAGAGACACAGAGAGAGAGAGAUGACACCUCCUAGGGAGACAGAGAGAGGUGGUAACCAUACAGAGAGAGAUGACACCUCCUAGGGAGACAGAGAGAGGUGGUAACCACACAUCACAGACACAGAGAGAGAUGAUGACACCUCCUAGGGAGAGAGAGGUGGUAACCAGACAUCAGAGACACAGAGAGAGAGAGAGAGAGAGAGAGAGAGAGAGAGAGAUGAUAACCACACAGAGACACAGAGAGAGAGAUGACACCUCCAAGGGAGACAGAGAGAGGUGGUAAACACACAUCAGAGACAGACGGAGGGCUCUGGAUGGAUAGGCAAAGGAUGGC